GAGUUUGAUCCUGGCUCAGGAUGAACGCUGGCGGCGUGCCUAACACAUGCAAGUCGAGCGAUUUACUUCGGUAAAGAGCGGCGGACGGGUGAGUAACGCGUGGGUAACCUGCCUCAUACACAUGGAUAACAUACCGAAAGGUAUGCUAAUACAGGAUAAUAUAAGAGAUUCACAUGGAUUUCUUAUCAAAGCUCCGGCGGUAUGAGAUGGACCCGCGUCUGAUUAGCUAGUUGGUAAGGUAAUGGCUUACCAAGGCGACGAUCAGUAGCCGACCUGAGAGGGUGAUCGGCCACAUUGGAACUGAGACACGGUCCAAACUCCUACGGGAGGCAGCAGUGGGGAAUAUUGCACAAUGGGCGAAAGCCUGAUGCAGCAACGCCGCGUGAGUGAUGAAGGCCUUCGGGUCGUAAAACUCUGUCCUCAAGGAAGAUAAUGACGGUACUUGAGGAGGAAGCCCCGGCUAACUACGUGCCAGCAGCCGCGGUAAUAC
rnacentral:rRNA from 1 species